rnacentral:snoRNA from 11 species
CUGCACUGCCAAAGACCAGAUUGUCUCUUCCAUGGCCUUCUGGUCUUCAUUCUAGUGCAAGAUAAACUCCCUUCUAGCAGAAGGGCUAGGACUCUUUCUAAAGGCCUGGUCCUUUCGAAGGCUGGGUACAUUA